UAUCAGAAUGUACAAUACAAAUGAGGCUGUAUGAUGCUGUGCAAGUUAAUAUAGUCUAUAUAAAGUAAACGAAAAACUGCCAGGCUGCAUUCAAACUUGUUGAAAGAUAAAUAGGCUAAAGAAGAACCAAAAAUGUCUUUACAAUCGUUAAUAAUGAAGCUGUUGGUUUGUAUGGUCUGCCUGGCGAUGUUCCUUGCUACGGUCACAUCUCACAGAGUCAUUAUACGUGAUUUGUUACGUAGACAAGAUACUGACCUUAUUGAAGGUGAAGAAAGUUUUGAAAGUAGGUUUUUCGCUAAAUAGACUAGAACAACUUGCAGAGAUCUCUCAAAUGCAGAAUACAGAUUCUUUUUCUUUUUUUUUUUCCCGUAUCAAUAAUGUUGAACGUCUCCACCUGUUCAAAAACACAAACCUUGUUCAGGCCAGAUAUGAUGAGAUCACCAAAUGUUAUGUCUAGAUAUAAUAAAAUGUGUACAUCCA